AGUGAACGCUGGCGGUAGGCCUAACACAUGCAAGUCGAACGGCAGCACCGUAUGAGCUUGCUCUUACGGGUGUCGAGGGGCGGCCGAGGGAGGAAUACAUCGUAAUCUACUUUUUCGUGGGGGAUAACGUAGGGAAACUUACUCUAUUACCUCAUCCGACCUACGGCUGGAUGCAGGGGAUCUUCGAAACUUGCUCGAUAGAAUGAGCGGAUGUCGGCUUAGCUAGUUGGCGGGGUAAAGGCCCACCAGGGCGACGAUCCGUAGCUGGGCUGAGAGGGUGAGCAGCCACGCUGGAACUGAGACACGGUCCAGACUCCUACGGGAGGCAGCAGUAGGGAAUAUUGGUCAAGGAGCGCAAGCCUGAUCCAGCCAUACCGCGUGGGUGAAGAAAGCCUUCGGGUUGUAAAGCUCUUCUGUUGGGAAAGAAAAGCAGCAGGUUAAUAUCGCGCUGUUCUGACGGUACCCAAAGAAUAAGCACCGGCUAACUUCGUG
rnacentral:rRNA from 1 species